rnacentral:lncRNA from 1 species
AAAAAGCAAUUAAAAAAACUUACCGCGAUUUAUCCCACAGCUAUCAGUUGCAAUUUCUUCCUCACUAAUGGAAUCUGCAAAUUAUGGCUCAACUAUAGAGAAAUUGCAAAAGGAGGUGGUCGAUCUUAGUCGAGAAAAAACCCUAAAAUUUUGUGGCUAUUUGAAAGUGUGGAGCUUGGAUUAAUAGGAGGAGGUGGUUGUUUCAGGUGGAGGAGAUAAAGUUUAUGGGUGAAGAAAAAAGAAAAUCAAAUCUUGGAACUAGUCAAAGAGUAUGAAAUAUUUUGUUGACGGCAGGAUGGUGGUUGUUGGUGACGGCUGUAGAAGGAGGUGGUUGUUGACGGCCAUAUCUGUUACAUAGUCGGAGGUUCUACUGCAGACGUUGACGGCGGGAUGGUGGCAGAGUUGGCGGGAUGGUGGCAGAGUCGGCGGUUGAUGGCUGCCUUCCGAUGUUUGUUACAGAGUCGUCGUUCUCGGUGAAGUCCCUUUUGAGAGGGAUGGC